AAUUGACGGGGCCCGCACAAGCGGUGGAGCAUGUGGUUUAAUUCGACGCAACGCGAAGAACCUUACCAGGUCUUGACAUCCCGAUGCUAUUUCUAGAGAUAGAAAGUUACUUCGGUACAUCGGUGACAGGUGGUGCAUGGUUGUCGUCAGCUCGUGUCGUGAGAUGUUGGGUUAAGUCCCGCAACGAGCGCAACCCCUAUUGUUAGUUGCCAUCAUUCAGUUGGGCACUCUAGCGAGACUGCCGGUAAUAAACCGGAGGAAGGUGGGGAUGACGUCAAAUCAUCAUGCCCCUUAUGACCUGGGCUACACACGUGCUACAAUGGUUGGUACAACGAGUUGCGAGUCGGUGACGGCGAGCUAAUCUCUUAAAGCCAAUCUCAGUUCGGAUUGUAGGCUGCAACUCGCCUACAUGAAGUCGGAAUCGCUAGUAAUCGCGGAUCAGCACGCCGCGGUGAAUACGUUCCCGGGCCUU
rnacentral:rRNA from 1 species